AUUGAACGCUGGCGGCAGGCUUAACACAUGCAAGUCGAGCGGGGGAAGGUAGCUUGCUACCGGACCUAGCGGCGGACGGGUGAGUAAUGCUUAGGAAUCUGCCUAUUAGUGGGGGACAACAUCUCGAAAGGGAUGCUAAUACCGCAUACGUCCUACGGGAGAAAGCAGGGGAUCUUCGGACCUUGCGCUAAUAGAUGAGCCUAAGUCGGAUUAGCUAGUUGGUGGGGUAAAGGCCUACCAAGGCGACGAUCUGUAGCGGGUCUGAGAGGAUGAUCCGCCACACUGGGACUGAGACACGGCCCAGACUCCUACGGGAGGCAGCAGUGAGGAAUAUUGGACAAUGGGGGGAACCCUGAUCCAGCCAUGCCGCGUGUGUGAAGAAGGCCUCAUGGUUGUAAAGCACUUUAAGCGAGGAGGGGGCUACUUUAGUUAAUACCUAGAGAUAGUGGACGUUACUCGCAGAAUAAGCACCGGCUAAUUCUGUGCCAGCCGCCGCCGUAA
rnacentral:rRNA from 1 species